GACGAACGCUCGCGGCGUGCUUAACACAUGCAAGUCGAACGCUGAAGCUCAGCUUGCUGGGUGGAUGAGUGGCGAACGGGUGAGUAACACGUGAGUAACCUGCCCUCUUCUUUGGGAUAACGCCCGGAAACGGGUGCUAAUACUGGAUAUUCACUGAUUCUCGCAUGGGGGUUGGUGGAAAGGUUUUUUCUGGUGGGGGAUGGGCUCGCGGCCUAUCAGCUUGUUGGUGGGGUGAUGGCCUACCAAGGCUUUGACGGGUAGCCGGCCUGAGAGGGUGACCGGUCACAUUGGGACUGAGAUACGGCCCAGACUCCUACGGGAGGCAGCAGUGGGGAAUAUAGCACAAUGGGCGAAAGCCUGAUGCAGCGACGCCGCGUGAGGGAUGGAGGCCUUCGGGUUGUAAACCUCUUUCGCUCAUGGUCAAGCCGCAGCUUUGGGUUGUGGUGAGGGUAGUGGGUAAAGAAGCGCCGGCUAACUACGUG
rnacentral:rRNA from 1 species